UGCCUUUGACAACGUUUGCAAUAUUGCUUUCGGAUAUGAUCCUGCAUAUUUGUUGCCAUCUCUUCCGCAGGAAAGGUUUGCUGUUGCUUUUGGAAGUGCUGUUGCACUCAUCAGUGAAAGAUUCAACUCAAAUAUCCCUUUUAUAUGGAAAAUCAAAAGGGCUCUCAACAUAGGAUCUGAAAAGCAGUUGAAGCUUGUUGUAAACGAAGUACGCGAAUUUGCAAAAUCAAUAAUCAAAGAGAAAAAACAAGAACUUCAAGAAAAAACCUCCAAAGAAUCUGUUGAUCUUCUGUCCAGAUUCUUGAGUUCUGGCCAUUCUGAUGAAGAUUUUGUCACUGAUAUAGUGAUAAGUUUUAUACUAGCUGGCCGUGACACUACUUCUGCUGCAUUAACAUGGUUUUUCUGGUUGCUUUACAAUAAUCCAGAAGUGGAAAAUGAGAUUCUGAAAGAGAUUAAAGAGACGUCAGAAGGGACAGUUUAUGAGGAAGUGAAGGAUAUGAUUUAUAUUCAUGCUUCGCUUUGCGAAAGCAUGAGAUUAUAUCCACCAGUUCCCGUGGACACAAAAUCAGCAGCGAAUCAUGAUAUUUUACCAGAUGGGACUGUGGUGAAAAAGGGUACGAGAAUAAGCUAUCAUCCCUUCGCAAUGGGGAGGGUUGAGAAAGUGUGGGGGCCUGACUGGGAGGAGUU
rnacentral:lncRNA from 1 species